GCCGCGGUCGCAUAAUCUGGUAUUGCACAAGCCUGGAAAGCUUGACUCGAAAGGGUAUCCCGGUUCAAAUCCGGGCCGCGGCG
rnacentral:tRNA from 1 species